AGAGUUUGAUCCUGGCUCAGGAUGAACGCUAGCGACAGGCUUAACACAUGCAAGUCGAGGGGCAGCGGGGAGGUAGCAAUACUUCUGCCGGCGACCGGCGCACGGGUGAGUAACACGUAUGGAACCUGCCCGUAGCAGGGGGAUAAGCGGAAGAAAUUCCGUCUAAUACCGCGUAAUAACUCCGAGAGGCAUCUCUUGGGGUUUAAAGGGUGACACCGGCUACGGAUGGCCAUGCGGCGCAUUAGCUGGUUGGCGGGGUAACGGCCCACCAAGGCGACGAUGCGUAGGGGUUCUGAGAGGAAGGUCCCCCACACUGGUACUGAGACACGGACCAGACUCCUACGGGAGGCAGCAGUGAGGAAUAUUGGUCAAUGGGCGCGAGCCUGAACCAGCCAAGUCGCGUGAGGGAAGACGGUCCUAUGGAUUGUAAACCUCUUUUGUCGGGGAGCAAAAGACGCCACGCGUGGCGUUCCGAGAGUACCCGAAGAAAAAGCAUCGGCUAACUCCGUG
rnacentral:rRNA from 1 species